rnacentral:rRNA from 1 species
GACGAACGCUGGCGGCGUGCUUAACACAUGCAAGUCGAACGAAGAGCGAUGGAAGCUUGCUUCUAUCAAUCUUAGUGGCGAACGGGUGAGUAACGCGUAAUCAACCUGCCCUUCAGAGGGGGACAACAGUUGGAAACGACUGCUAAUACCGCAUACGAUCUAAUCUCGGCAUCGAGGAUAGAUGAAAGGUGGCCUCUACAUGUAAGCUAUCACUGAAGGAGGGGAUUGCGUCUGAUUAGCUAGUUGGAGGGGUAUCGGCCCACCAAGGCGAUGAUCAGUAGCCGGUCUGAGAGGAUGAACGGCCACAUUGGGACUGAGACACGGCCCAGACCCCUACGGGAGGCAGCAGUGGGGAAUCUUCCGCAAUGGACGAAAGUCUGACGGAGCAACGCCGCGUGAGUGAUGACGGCCUUCGGGUUGUAAAGCUCUGUUAAUCGGGACGAAAGGCCUUCUUGCGAAUAGUGAGAAGGAUUGACGGUACCGGAAUAGAAAGCCACGGCUAACUACGUG